GUUAGUGUCAGGUAUAAGACUGGGGUUAGGGCUUGGUCUAACCCUGGGGUUAGUGUUGGGUAUAAGACUGGGGUUAGUGGUUAGGGUCAGGUGUUUGGUCUAAC